UACAGAGGGGGCAAGCGUUAUUCGGAAUUAUUGGGCGUAAAGGGCGCGUAGGCGGCCAUUCAAGUGACGGGUGAAAGCCCUCGGCUUAACCGAGGAACUGCCUGUCAGACUGGAUGGCUUGAGACCGGGAGAGGUGAGUGGAAUUCCCAGUGUAGCGGUGAAAUGCGUAGAUAUUGGGAGGAACACCAGUGGCGAAGGCGGCUCACUGGACCGGAACUGACGCUGAGGUGCGAAAGCGUGGGGAGCAAACAGGG
rnacentral:rRNA from 1 species